rnacentral:rRNA from 1 species
CUCUGGUAUUGAUUGGUGCUUGCAUCAUGAUUUACAUUUGAGUGAGUGGCGAACUGGUGAGUAACACGUGGGAAACCUGCCCAGAAGCGGGGGAUAACACCUGGAAACAGAUGCUAAUACCGCAUAACAACUUGGACCGCAUGGUCCGAGCUUGAAAGAUGGCUUCGGCUAUCACUUUUGGAUGGUCCCGCGGCGUAUUAGCUAGAUGGUGGGGUAACGGCUCACCAUGGCAAUGAUACGUAGCCGACCUGAGAGGGUAAUCGGCCACAUUGGGACUGAGACACGGCCCAAACUCCUACGGGAGGCAGCAGUAGGGAAUCUUCCACAAUGGACGAAAGUCUGAUGGAGCAACGCCGCGUGAGUGAAGAAGGGUUUCGGCUCGUAAAACUCUGUUGUUAAAGAAGAACAUAUCUGAGAGUAACUGUUCAGGUAUUGACGGUAUUUAACCAGAAAGCCACGGCUAACUACGUGCCAGCAGCCGCGGUAAUACGUAGGUGGCAAGCGUUGUCCGGAUUUAUUGGGCGUAAAGCGAGCGCAGGCGGUUUUUUAAGUCUGAUGUGAAAGCCUUCGGCUCAACCGAAGAAGUGCAUCGGAAACUGGGAAACUUGAGUGCAGAAGAGGACAGUGGAACUCCAUGUGUAGCGGUGAAAUGCGUAGAUAUAUGGAAGAACACCAGUGGCGAAGGCGGCUGUCUGGUCUGUAACUGACGCUGAGGCUCGAAAGUAUGGGUAGCAAACAGGAUUAGAUACCCUGGUAGUCCAUACCGUAAACGAUGAAUGCUAAGUGUUGGAGGGUUUCCGCCCUUCAGUGCUGCAGCUAACGCAUUAAGCAUUCCGCCUGGGGAGUACGGCCGCAAGGCUGAAACUCAAAGGAAUUGACGGGGGCCCGCACAAGCGGUGGAGCAUGUGGUUUAAUUCGAAGCUACGCGAAGAACCUUACCAGGUCUUGACAUACUAUGCAAAUCUAAGAGAUUAGACGUUCCCUUCGGGGACAUGGAUACAGGUGGUGCAUGGUUGUCGUCAGCUCGUGUCGUG